rnacentral:rRNA from 1 species
ACUGCUAUCGGAUUGAUACUAAGCCAUGCGAGUCAUUGUAGUAAUACAAGGCAGAMGGCUCAGUAACGCGUAGUCAACCUACCCUAUGGACGGGAAUAACCUCGGGAAACUGAGAAUAAUGCCCGAUAGAACAUUAUGCCUGGAAUGGUUUAUGUUCCAAAUGAUUUAUCGCCGUAGGAUGGGACUGCGUCCUAUCAGUUUGUUGGUGAGGUAAUGGCCCACCAAGACUAUUACAGGUACGGGCUCUGAGAGGAGUGGCCCGGAGAUGGGUACUGAGACACGGACCCAGGCCCUAUGGGGCGCAGCAGGCGAGAAAACUUUGCAAUGUGCGAAAGCACGACAAGGUUAAUCCGAGUGGUUUCUGCUAAAGGAACCUUUUGUCGGUCCUAGAAACACCGAUGAAUAAGGGGUGGGCAAGUUCUGGUGUCAGCCGCCGCGGUAAAACCAGCACCUCAAGUUGUCAGGAUGAUUAUUGGGCCUAAAGCAUCCGUAGCCGGCUCUGUUAGUUUUCGGUUAAAUCUAUACGCUCAACGUAUAGGCUGCCGGGAAUACUGCAGAGCUAGGGAGUGGGAGAGGUAGACGGUACUCGGUAGGAAGGGGUAAAAUCCUUUGAUCUAUUGAUGACCACCUGUGGCGAAGGCGGUCUACCAGAACACGUCCGACGGUGAGGGAUGAAAGCUGGGGGAGCAAACCGGAUUAGAUACCCGGGUAGUCCCAGCUGUAAACUAUGCAAACUCAGUGAUGCAUUGGCUUGUGGCCAAUGCAGUGCUGCAGGGAAGCCGUUAAGUUUGCCGCCUGGGAAGUACGUACGCAAGUAUGAAACUUAAAGGAAUUGGCGGGGGAGCACCACAAGGGGUGAAG